AACGAGACCUUCGGGUCUAGUGGCGCACGGGUGCGUAACGCGUGGGAACCUGCCUUUAGGUUCGGAAUAACUCAGAGAAAUUUGAGCUAAUACCGGAUAAUGUCUUCGGACCAAAGAUUUAUCGCCUUUAGAUGGGCCCGCGUUGGAUUAGCUAGUUGGUGGGGUAAAGGCCUACCAAGGCGACGAUCCAUAGCUGGUCUGAGAGGAUGAUCAGCCACACUGGGACUGAGACACGGCCCAGACUCCUACGGGAGGCAGCAGUGGGGAAUAUUGGACAAUGGGCGAAAGCCUGAUCCAGCAAUGCCGCGUGAGUGAUGAAGGCCUUAGGGUUGUAAAGCUCUUUUACCCGAGAUGAUAAUGACAGUAUCGGGAGAAUAAGCUCCGGCUAACUCCGUGCCAGCAGCCGCGGUAAUACGGAGGGAGCUAGCGUUGUUCGGAAUUACUGGGCGUAAAGCGCACGUAGGCGGCUUUUUAAGUCAGGGGUGAAAUCCCGGGGCUCAACCCCGGAACUGCCUUUGAAACUGGAGAGCUAGAAUCUUGGAGAGGCGAGUGGAAUUCCGAGUGUAGAGGUGAAAUUCGUAGAUAUUCGGAAGAACACCAGUGGCGAAGGCGACUCG
rnacentral:rRNA from 1 species